rnacentral:rRNA from 1 species
UGUAAGCGUAUACCAAAGUUGUUGCAGUUAACACGCUCGUAGUCGGAAUUUGGCAGUUCCGGAUGUGUGCACGUCGUGUGCGCACUUCGCGGGGAUUGCUUUUGUGGUCUUGCGUAGGAUGAGGCACUUUUAUUAGUGAACGUCCUCACGCAACCACUUUUUACUGUGAGAAAAUCAGAGUGCUCAAAGCAGGCAUUUGCCGUGAAUGUAUUAGCAUGGAAUAAUAGAAUAGGACUUGGUUCUAUUUUGUUGGUUUGUUGGGACUGAGUAAUGAUUAAGAGGGACAGUUGGGGGCAUUUGUAUUUCGGUGCUAGAGGUGAAAUUCUUAGAUUACCGAAAGACAAACUGCUGCGAAAGCGUCUGCCAAGGAUGUUUUCAUUGA